rnacentral:misc_RNA from 1 species
GAAAAAAAAAAAAAAAGAGAAGAUGCAUGAAAUAAAACGGAAUUCGGUUCAAUUACAGUUCCAAAGGCACCAAAAGAUCUGAGUCAGAUCUGAGCUAGUCAGCAUUUAUUAUAUUUGCUGACAUGAAAGAGUUAAAGGGAAGUAGAAGAAAGGAAAACUAGUUCACUAUACCACAAUUGUGUUAGGUCACUAAGCAUGACAGAUCUAGCACUCUUCUUGUUAACAAUAUACGAUCCAUUUCACCCCAUAAGGUUUACUGAACAGAUAGGAUCACAUAGGAUUUAUAAGUAAUUAACCAUGACAAAGGACAAGAUGAGGCCCAUUUUGUGCUCAAGUUUUUUAAUUUUCACAUCAUCAAUCCCAACAUAAACCCAAUACCAUAGGCAACCAUCCAAUGAAGCCCUUUGAGCAUUUUUCCAACUUUUCUAUGAUCAAUUAAUUUAAUAUUCCUUUCCUUAGUUUUGCAUUAGGGCAGACACCAUGCACUUUCCAUCAAUUGCAAGGAAACAUUUUCCCACUUCUCCAUAUAGAUUCAAUAAACAAGACCAACAAAGUUACCACAGGCAGUAAGCAAUCAAAUAAGCAUCCUCUGCCAAAGCUAUUAGUAAUAUCCAUUAACUGUUUUGGCAGAGAAGUAGGCAACUUGAAACGCUAAGAAAAGGUCUAGGAAUGAAUACAAUAACAUGAACUUUCGUGUUUCAUCUAUAUUGCCUUACAUGACCAAUGCAAUUAGACCAAUUUGCAAAGAUAACAAUCCUCAUUUUAGUAUGACUCGUCUUGCUGAUAUGAAACAUCUUUCAUGAUCAUAAGCAGCAUCUCCAGAAAACCAAGUUUGUUGCACUAAUUAAUUAUCAUGUCAACAAGAUGCACGAUUAUUAUAGUUCGUAUCAACACUCUCUCCAUCAUUUGACGCAUUCAUCAUUUUCAACAGCCUCAUCAAAACAUCCACAGACCAACCACCAAUCUCAGCAUCCAACUAGAAACCAACAAGAUUUUCAAAACCUUAAAUAAUCAUAUGACAAAUCCAAGCUCAUAAUAAAGACAGAAACAAGACUGCCAAUCAUAAUCAGAAGGUCUACAGCAAACCUAGAAUAUAAUGCAAAAUCAAAACCAAAACCUUUAACAUUUAUGAUUUAAAAAAUAGCCAAAUCUAACCUUUGCGGUUGGUGUCCUUCUCG